AGCGUACACGGUGGAUGCCCUGGCAGUCAGAGGCGAUGAAGGACGUGCUAAUCUGCGAUAAGCGUCGGUAAGGUGAUAUGAACCGUUAUAACCGGCGAUUUCCGAAUGGGGAAACCCAGUGUGUUUCGACACACUAUCAUUAACUGAAUCCAUAGGUUAAUGAGGCGAACCGGGGGAACUGAAACAUCUAAGUACCCCGAGGAAAAGAAAUCAACCGAGAUUCCCCCAGUAGCGGCGAGCGAACGGGGAGCAGCCCAGAGCCUGAAUCAGUGUGUGUGUUAGUGGAAGCGUCUGGAAAGGCGCGCGAUACAGGGUGACAGCCCCGUACACAAAAAUGCACAUGCUGUGAGCUCGAUGAGUAGGGCGGGACACGUGGUAUCCUGUCUGAAUAUGGGGGGACCAUCCUCCAAGGCUAAAUACUCCUGACUGACCGAUAGUGAACCAGUACCGUGAGGGAAAGGCGAAAAGAACCCCGGCGAGGGGAGUGAAAAAGAACCUGAAACCGUGUACGUACAAGCAGUGGGAGCACGCUUAGGCGUGUGACUGCGUACCUUUUGUAUAAUGGGUCAGCGACUUAUAUUCUGUAGCAAGGUUAACCGAAUAGGGGAGCCGAAGGGAAACCGAGUCUUAACUGGGCGUUAAGUUGCAGGGUAUAGACCCGAAACCCGGUGAUCUAGCCAUGGGCAGGUUGAAGGUUGGGUAACACUAACUGGAGGACCGAACCGACUAAUGUUGAAAAAUUAGCGGAUGACUUGUGGCUGGGGGUGAAAGGCCAAUCAAACCGGGAGAUAGCUGGUUCUCCCCGAAAGCUAUUUAGGUAGCGCCUCGUGAAUUCAUCUCCGGGGGUAGAGCACUGUUUCGGCAAGGGGGUCAUCCCGACUUACCAACCCGAUGCAAACUGCGAAUACCGGAGAAUGUUAUCACGGGAGACACACGGCGGGUGCUAACGUCCGUCGUGAAGAGGGAAACAACCCAGACCGCCAGCUAAGGUCCCAAAGUCAUGGUUAAGUGGGAAACGAUGUGGGAAGGCCCAGACAGCCAGGAUGUUGGCUUAGAAGCAGCCAUCAUUUAAAGAAAGCGUAAUAGCUCACUGGUCGAGUCGGCCUGCGCGGAAGAUGUAACGGGGCUAAACCAUGCACCGAAGCUGCGGCAGCGACGCUGAUGCGUUGUUGGGUAGGGGAGCGUUCUGUAAGCCUGUGAAGGUGUACUGUGAGGUAUGCUGGAGGUAUCAGAAGUGCGAAUGCUGACAUAAGUAACGAUAAAGCGGGUGAAAAGCCCGCUCGCCGGAAGACCAAGGGUUCCUGUCCAACGUUAAUCGGGGCAGGGUGAGUCGACCCCUAAGGCGAGGCCGAAAGGCGUAGUCGAUGGGAAACAGGUUAAUAUUCCUGUACUUGGUGUUACUGCGAAGGGGGGACGGAGAAGGCUAUGUUGGCCGGGCGACGGUUGUCCCGGUUUAAGCGUGUAGGCUGGUUUUCCAGGCAAAUCCGGAAAAUCAAGGCUGAGGCGUGAUGACGAGGCACUACGGUGCUGAAGCAACAAAUGCCCUGCUUCCAGGAAAAGCCUCUAAGCAUCAGGUAACAUCAAAUCGUACCCCAAACCGACACAGGUGGUCAGGUAGAGAAUACCAAGGCGCUUGAGAGAACUCGGGUGAAGGAACUAGGCAAAAUGGUGCCGUAACUUCGGGAGAAGGCACGCUGAUAUGUAGGUGAAGUCCCUCGCGGAUGGAGCUGAAAUCAGUCGAAGAUACCAGCUGGCUGCAACUGUUUAUUAAAAACACAGCACUGUGCAAACACGAAAGUGGACGUAUACGGUGUGACGCCUGCCCGGUGCCGGAAGGUUAAUUGAUGGGGUUAGCGCAAGCGAAGCUCUUGAUCGAAGCCCCGGUAAACGGCGGCCGUAACUAUAACGGUCCUAAGGUAGCGAAAUUCCUUGUCGGGUAAGUUCCGACCUGCACGAAUGGCGUAAUGAUGGCCAGGCUGUCUCCACCCGAGACUCAGUGAAAUUGAACUCGCUGUGAAGAUGCAGUGUACCCGCGGCAAGACGGAAAGACCCCGUGAACCUUUACUAUAGCUUGACACUGAACAUUGAGCCUUGAUGUGUAGGAUAGGUGGGAGGCUUUGAAGUGUGGACGCCAGUCUGCAUGGAGCCGACCUUGAAAUACCACCCUUUAAUGUUUGAUGUUCUAACGUUGACCCGUGAUCCGGGUUGCGGACAGUGUCUGGUGGGUAGUUUGACUGGGGCGGUCUCCUCCUAAAGAGUAACGGAGGAGCACGAAGGUUGGCUAAUCCUGGUCGGACAUCAGGAGGUUAGUGCAAUGGCAUAAGCCAGCUUGACUGCGAGCGUGACGGCGCGAGCAGGUGCGAAAGCAGGUCAUAGUGAUCCGGUGGUUCUGAAUGGAAGGGCCAUCGCUCAACGGAUAAAAGGUACUCCGGGGAUAACAGGCUGAUACCGCCCAAGAGUUCAUAUCGACGGCGGUGUUUGGCACCUCGAUGUCGGCUCAUCACAUCCUGGGGCUGAAGUAGGUCCCAAGGGUAUGGCUGUUCGCCAUUUAAAGUGGUACGCGAGCUGGGUUUAGAACGUCGUGAGACAGUUCGGUCCCUAUCUGCCGUGGGCGCUGGAGAACUGAGGGGGGCUGCUCCUAGUACGAGAGGACCGGAGUGGACGCAUCACUGGUGUUCGGGUUGUCAUGCCAAUGGCACUGCCCGGUAGCUAAAUGCGGAAGAGAUAAGUGCUGAAAGCAUCUAAGCACGAAACUUGCCCCGAGAUGAGUUCUCCCUGACUCCUUGA
rnacentral:rRNA from 1 species